AUCUUACCACAUGGUGGAAUGCCGUGGGUAUUGGCUUAAGCGUGACUGACUCUUCCCUCUGGCCCCAGGCAGAAGGCCACAUGCUUGGAGCAGAGCAGAGGACAUUUCCCACUUCUACACUCCACAUGGUUUUGGCCUUGCCGGAAGAGGUCACAAAGUGGCUUUGGAAUUCACUCACACAACAUGAGGGUACUUGUGCACAGGUAGAGAAUGGUUGAAAUAUACACUACCUGAAGCUGGAUAACUCAUGAACUCUGUUGACAAUUAUAUUCUUUGUCUUUUUAAUUAACUCAUUUGGAGUCAGUGUCCUGAGGACCUAAGCCUAAGAAUCUUCAAGAUGGAAGAGUAGAGUGAACAACGAAUGAGCCAGAGGGCUCUUGUCCUCUGUGUGCAGUUCUGGGCAGCCAGCAGGUGGAUAUGGGACUUGACCUGCCGGAGGGGCCCUGGCAAGAGGAGCUGGCAGGAGCAGAUGGCAAAGGUAAAGUGAGAGUCACAGAUAAUGUUCUGAAGGUGUUGAGAGACUUCCUGUUUGAAAAAAAUUACAAGAGUCUUCCAUGAUUGUCAACGUUGUGGAAAGCAAAGAUGAGCUUGCCGUGACCCAGCCCUCAGGUCAACAAUAAUCCACAGAAGGUCAAGUGUUUAUCAUCUCCUCUCAUUUUAUUUAAUUUUUUUUUUUUUUUUUUUAUAGAGACAGGGUCUUGCUAUGUUGCCUAGGCUGAUCUUAAACUCCUGGCAUCAAGUGAUCCACCUUGGCCUCCCAAAGCAUUGGGAUUACAAGCUUAUGUUAAUUUUCUUGAAGCAGGUGAUUUCUUUGUCACUCUUGAGUUUGCUAACAUAAGAAAAACAUUCAUUUUGAACUCACCUUUCAGGCCAGGGCACGGUGGCUCAUGCCUGUAAUCCCAACACUUUGGGAGGCAGAGGCAGGUGGAUCACUUGAGGUCAGGAGUUCAAGAUCAGCCUGGCCAACAUUUCUCUACUAAAAAUACAAAACAUAAAAAAUAAAAAUUAGCUGGGCCUGGUGG
rnacentral:lncRNA from 1 species